GGGGAAUAUUGGACAAUGGGCGCAAGCCUGAUCCAGCCAUGCCGCGUGUGUGAAGAAGGCCUUCGGGUUGUAAAGCACUUUUGUCNGGGAGGAAGUGCAGUNGGUUAAUACCCUGNGGNGAUGACGUUACCNNCAGAAUAAGCACCGGCUAACUCCGUGCCAGCAGCCGCGGUAAUACGGAGGGUGCAAGCGUUAAUCGGAAUUACUGGGCGUAAAGCGCGCGNAGGNGGUUNNUUAAGUCNGAUGUGAAAUCCCCGGGCUCAACCUGGGAACUGCAUUUGAAACUGGCGGGCUAGAGU
rnacentral:rRNA from 1 species